UUCAUUAUGGAGAGUUUGAUCCUGGCUCAGGAUNAACGCUAGCGGCAGGCUUAAUACAUGCAAGUCGAACGGUAACAGGUCCUUCGGGACGCUGACGAGUGGCGCACGGGUGAGUAACGCGUACACAAUCUGCCUUCAUCAGGGGGAAAGUCACUGGAAACGGUGAAUAAUCCCGCAUACAACUCUUAGAUGGCAUCAUCAUAGAGUAAAAGCUCCGGCGGAUGAAGAUGAGUGUGCGUCUGAUUAGCUAGAUGGUGAGGUAACGGCUCACCAUGGCAACGAUCAGUAGGGGGCGUGAGAGCGUGAUCCCCCACACGGGUACUGAGACACGGACCNGACUCCUACGGGAGGCAGCAGUAAGGAAUAUUGGGCAAUGGACGGAAGUCUGACCCAGCCAUGCCGUGUGCGGGAAGAAGGCCCUUUGGGUUGUAAACCGCUUUUAUCUAGGAAGAAUGGCCCUGAUUCAUCAGGGNAGAGACGGUACUAGAUGAAUAAGCACCGGCUAACUCCGUGCCAGCAGCCNCGGUAAUACGGAGNGUGCNAGCGUUAUCCGGAAUCACUGGGUUUAAAGGGUACGUAGGCGGUUCAAUAAGUCAGAUGUGAAAUGUCGGAGCUCAACUUCGAACUUGCAUUUGAAACUGUUGAACUUGAAUUAGGUGGAAGUGUGCGGAAUGUAUCAUGUAGCGGUGAAAUGCAUAGAUAUGAUAUAGAACACCAAUAGCGAAGGCAGCACACUACGCUUUGAUUGACGCUGAGGUACNAAAGCGUGGGGAGCGAACAGGAUUAGAUACCCUGGUAGUCCACGCCCUAAACGAUGCUAACUGGAUAUUUUCACGAGUGAGUGGGAGUGUCUGAGGGAAACCAUUAAGUUAGCCACCUGGGGAGUACGUUCGCAAGAAUGAAACUCAAAGGAAUUGACGGGNNUCNGCACAAGCGGUGGAGCAUGUGGUUUAAUUCGAUNNUACGCGAGGAACCUUACCUGGNCUCGAACGCUAGAUGAAUAUUGGGGAAACUUAAUAGACCUUCGGGACAUCUAGUGAGGUGCUGCAUGGCUGUCGUCAGCUCGUGCCGUGAGGUGUUGGGUUAAGUCCCNCAACGAGCGCAACCCCUAUCUUUAGUUGCCAGCGAUUCGGUCGGGGACUCUAGAGAGACUGCCUCCGUAAGGAGUGAGGAAGGAAGGGACGACGUNNAGUCAUCAUGGCCUUUAUGCCCAGGGCUACACACGUGCUACAAUGGCGCCUACAGAGGGCAGCGAACCUGCGAGGGUAAGCGAAUCUCAGAAAGGGCGUCCCAGUUCGGAUUGGAGUCUGCAACUCGACUCCAUGAAGUUGGAAUCGCUAGUAAUCGCGCAUCAGCCAUGGCGCGGUGAAUACGUUCCCGGACCUUGUACACACCGCNCGUCAAGNCAUGGGAGUCNNNNGUGCCUGAAGAUGGUGACCUUACCAGGAGCUAUCUAGGGUAAACCUGGUGACNAGGNCNNNNNNNNNACAAGGNAGCCGNNNNNNNNNNNNNNNNNNGAAUACCUCCUUUA
rnacentral:rRNA from 1 species